rnacentral:rRNA from 1 species
UACGUAGGGUCCGAGCGUUGUCCGGAUUUAUUGGGCGUAAAGAGCUCGUAGGCGGUUCGGUAAGUCAGCUGUGAAAUCUCCACGCUCAACGUGGAGGGGUCAGCUGAUACUGCCGUGACUUGAGUCUGGUAGGGGAGUGCGGAAUUCCUGGUGUAGCGGUGAAAUGCGCAGAUAUCAGGAGGAACACCAAUGCGAAGGCAGCUCGCUGGAACGUAAACUGACGCUGAGACGCGAAAGCGUGGGGAGCAAACAGG